GUCCUGCUGAAAAGUCCCAAAACUAGGACGAAACAGCUGUCCAGCAC
rfam:Trichobilharzia regenti genome assembly, scaffold: TRE_contig0000071